rnacentral:lncRNA from 1 species
UCACUUGCAUAUUUAUAUGUUAUUUAAUUAAAACAAAUAACUAAGCAUUGUUGCUUUAACAACAGCCAAGCCGGUAUCACAAACUGAAGCAGCCAAGCCCAAAUCCAAUACAAAGCCCAAGCCCAAUAUUAAUAUUAUCACUACGACCAACACUCUGAUAUACAUACAGUAACGUAAAUAUAUAUACACGCAGUCGGGGGAGCGUUUUAUAAUUCAUCAGAAUCACAGCUGCUCGUCGGAAUGGAGUCGCUUCUCGUCGGAACGGAGUCGCCGCCCGCCGGAUAUUGUCCUUCCCGCACCGCAUCUCCCGUAUCCCCAAGUAUCGGUCACCGAGAUUCGCCGCCACGCCACCUGGCAGCGGGGUGCGCGCACCGCUGCGCACCCCCG